rnacentral:lncRNA from 1 species
AUUAUACUUAUCUGAAUUUUAUGGACAACCCAGGAUUAAAUAAAAGGUUUUGAUUUCAGUUACUACCUUUGAAGGGGUCAUUUUACAUGUGUAUGUUUUCUAGUCUUUGUAAUUAGGGUAAAAUAUACUGCAACUGUAGUUGCAUAUUUUGAUGCUUAAUUUUCAAUGCCUCAUGAAUAGCUUGUUUGGAUAGCUGUAGAAAGAAUGGGGGUCAUAUCCUGGGAUGCAAAGCUUUAUAUUAUAGAUAAGGAACUGAGGCUCUGAAAGUCAAAGGCAUAUGCACAUGCGUGCUUCCACAUAUGCAUUCAUAAUAAGACAUAGAUUUAUCCAAUUAUCAAUUUAAACCACUGUUAUCUUUUACAAGAUCUCAAGGAGAAUUCAAACCACCAAAAUACAAGAAUUUUAAUUUUUAACAAACAUGAUCAUCAUGAAUUUUUCUCUACACAUACAAACAAGAGUCAUACUCAUUCUUUUUUACAUAAUAUACUCAGAAUUAUCCACAGGUUGAUCAUUGUAAAACUGGAUGUUCUAACCUGUAAUAUUUUGAAGUCUCUAAAGAACCUUCUUAGCAGGCAGAAAGGAGGAGUGACUGAGCAAGCCAAAGUCAGAGUUACUUCUGAGAGGACACUCUGUGGUAAUAAUGUUGGUACCUCAAAGCUGAAUCUUAACCUAUCCUUUUGGCAGGGAGGCGUCUCUGCCAGAGGUUUAUACUUAUCUCUCUUUUAAUAAAGUAGUGUUAUCAGUAGAUUGCUCUAUUUAACUAUGAUUACCAAUUAGUAGAAUGUUAAAUCUUCAGCUUGAAUUUGAUCUGCUAUUGUUUCUGCCUCAAAAUGCACAACAUUGUUGUAUAGUGGUUUAUAUUUAUGAUAAAAGAGUUACUGAUUUCUUUAGCAGGUGAAACAGCAUUAUUCUUCUCUUAUCACUUCCCCUGGUUCUCCAUUCUCCACAUCUGGAUAGUAAGUAAGGCAGAUUCCAAUCUUUUCCAGUCAUUGUGGGACAUUAAAACAAAACAUCCUAUUUUCAGCUAUAGAAGGACAUUCAACCUAAUAUCAAAAUUUAAAUCUUUUAUCCAAUUAAACCUUCUCCUUUCCCCUACCUGCCAGCUUGGUAUUGACCCCUGGCUUUACACCAGCUGUGAGGAAAGAGGGAGUGGGGUACUCCACUCUUUUGUUCUCCUUUCUCUCUCCCUGCAAACACACAUCUUUGCUACUCUUGCUCCUUCAGGGUCGUGGCAGAGGAGAGACAAGAAAGAAAGGAUGGUGCUUUAACUAGUUGGUGCUGAGUCUGCUCUCUCACAUUAAGAUUCCAAAGCUGGCUCCUUCAUGGUACACACUGGUGAAUUCCUCAGAGCUAUCCACUUGCCUGGGUUCUUGACUUAGGUGAUUCUACCUCCAGAUGAGGUGAGGUACCGCAUCAGCUCCUGUCCCUGGUGGUAAUCCCACACAGCCUUUUCUGGCAGGACUCCCUCAUCCCAGUGGACAUCCUUUUGGGUUGGAGACAAAAGGACUGGGUCUUCCGUGGCCACUCCUCCUCCCUGUCACCGGAAAGUCACCUAGGGAACAUUUGGCGUCCUUACUCUGCUCCAUCCCACUGCUGUCCUCUCCCCUUGCCCUGCCAUCUUGAGCUACUCUGGUUUCUUCCUCAGAUGUGCUCCUAAGUUCCUAAAAGUACACAUGAGUUUGACCCCGAAACUCAUCUGUGUGCAUUCUGGUGGUGGCAGGGCAUUGUGAGUGAUGCGGGUCAGCCCUUGACCUGGCCAAAAACCCCAGUCUCUAGGAGGACUUCUCUUGGGGCCUCCUUCAUGCACUUAGGGGAGGGUAAGGGAAAUCCUUUCUCUACUAUGAACUCUGAGCAAGAGCUCCUCUUUCCAGGGAAUCCUAGUUUGCUUUUAUACAGUGUGUUGGGAUAAAGGUCACUGGGUUAGUUUGGAUACUUCCCAGCAAGGCGUGACUUUAGGGUGUAGAAGGACUCCCCAUCAUUUUCCACUUUGUGCUUAAGCUGAAAUUUCAAGACAAUAGAAGAAAGUUCUGUUCCACCUGUGUUUAAAGAUAGGCAGCAAUUUUCAUGAAUUACAUAUACAGUUAAGAAGUUGAAGUAGUUCAUCGUUCUAAGGUCUCCUCUUGGUAAAAAAUAUGCUAGGAUUUAUCCUGAAUUCCUUUCUUUGCUGGUCCAGCUUCUUGAGAACAAAAAUCAGGAAGUAAACACUAAAGGCCUCAGAGCAAGUAAAAAUGGUAUGUAAAUCUUCCUUCUCUCCAACACACUUGGGGGAGUAGCUUGAGUACUUACUUAUUUAGCUUGAGUACUUAUUUAUUUAGCAUUCCCUUGGAUGUCUCCUCAGUACCUACUUACUCUGACUUUCAUAUACUGCUCAGAUUUAAGUCUCUGAAUACCACAAAGUUAAAAAGAAUCUGAGAGAGAAUAGGUGUGUGUAUAUGUAUGACUGGGUCACUUUGUUGUACAGCAGAAAUUAUCACAACCUUUAAAUCAACUAUACGUCAAUAAAACUUUUUUUUAAAAAGGAACCACAAAAAAGUAAAGGAAAUGUAUAUCAUCCAUGACAUAUCUAGAGGCUUCAGGCAAAAUUUGAUCCAGGUUCUCACCAAGAAACCAGUUUUUGGGUUUUUUUCUGCAUGAUUUUGGCUUUAUCUUAAAUUCAGUUUUCCUUGUAGUUGUAAGAUGCUUGUCAGAAGCCCCUGACACUUAAAAUCCUCUUUUUUAUUUCCACUGAGCAUCUUUUUUUUUGCUAACUCCUAAGAGCAAUAAAGGAAACUUUCUUAGAAGCUCCCAGAAAAGUCUCUUAAUAGCUCAGUCAGGACAAACUAAGUCAUGUGUUUCAUCUCUGCAUCAAUAACCCUGUCCAGGAUGAUGAGGUGUGCCAAGUAGCUUUAAGCUGGGGCCACUCUAGAACUGAGAUUUAGGGUCAAUUCUACUAAAAAAAAAAUAUGAUUGGAAAUUUGGGGAACUGUUAGGAAGGAGAGAGUAAAGAGUGGGUGCUGGGGAAGCAUCAACAAAUGUCCACUCCAUCAACAUAAGGGGUAAAAUGGGAUUUAUUAUCAGAGUAUGAACAUGUCUUAUAGACCCUAAGGACAGGAAUGUUCUGGGCCUUAAAGAGGAAUCAAACUGGUAAUAAGUCCAUUAUGGGGAGUUCCCAUCAUGGUGCAGCAGAAACAAAUCAGACUAGGAACCACGAGGUUGCGGGUUUGAUCCCUGGCCUCGCUCAGUGGGUUAAGGAUCUGGUGUUGCUGUGAGCUGUGGUAUAAAUCACAGGUGCAGCUCAGAUCCUGCAUUGCUGUGGCUGUGAUGUAGGCUAGCAGCUAUAACUUCAAUUCAGCCCCUAGCCUGGGAACUUCCAUAUGCCACAGGUGUGGCCCUAAAAU